UAGUUUAAGAGAUAAAAAAGAUUUUUCAAAACACAGAUUGUAGUAAGUGCUAAAAUGAGGUGAGAUCAAAGUGUGUGGUAGAGGGAUCAAUUUUUUAAAAGGGAAGAUUGGUAUAGACUUCAUAGAGAAGAUAGUAUUUGAGAGAAGGGAGAUAAGUGAAGGUCUGUUUAUAGGCUCUGUGUGGCGGCUCUGUGGAUACCGUGUCCGAUAACAUUUGGCUUCCCAGAGCUCACAUAGAGCUACUGGGCAGAGUCAUACAGGGAAGUGCUAGAGCUGAAUUGGAAUUCAGGUAUGUAUGACUUAUGCCACUCCCUGAGGUAGGCCUUCACCUAUCUUAGAUUUUCCACAAGAGAAUAUACUGGAGGAGGGGAAAUAGUGGGUAAGGAUUUUCCGGGUGGAAGGACUAGUGUUCCUAAAAAUAAAUAUAAGUAGAGAAGUUUUCCAGGGACCCAAGAGCAAUCCAGGGUGGCUAGAAUGUAGGGAUUUUGAACGAGCAUUCAGGAGACAUUUGACGUCUAUGUGGCAUAGUAAAAUCAUGGAAAACUUCAAAGGCUGUAUUAAGGAGUUUAGACAUUGUUCCAUUUUACUUCAGGGGCUUUUGAAAAGUUCUUUGAGGUGGGGAGCAAAUCAGUCAGACCUGAGCCAUAGUGUGUGUCUUGAGAUCGCCCCUUGUUUCCCAUACCUUUCUUCUUAAAACUUUCCUAAUUAGGCACGCAGGAACCAACUGUGACCUUCUAUUUCACUUUCACCUAAAUAGUGACCAGCCCCUGUGCUUGACGAUGCUAUAGGAUAAAUAGGAAGGAAAAAAACUUUUAAAUGGUUCUUAGGUGAUUCGGGAUGUGAUAAAUGUGCACAUGGAAGAACUCAGUCAUAAUUGGCAAGAAGAGCAGGAAAAAGCACAGGAUGAUGCUGAAAAGAGAUGAGAAAGGCGAUCAGCUUCAGUAGAUUCUCGGCAGUCUGGUGGAAGCUAUUUUGAUGCUGAGUGUUCACAGCAUAGAAGGGAUCGGAGUAGGAGCCCACAUAAACGAAAAAGAAAUAAAGAUAAAGAUAAAAAUUAGGAAUCAAGAAGGAGGAAAGAGAGGGAUGGGGAAAGACAUCAUAGUCAUAAAAGAAGAAAGCAAAAAGUAUAAAUUAAGUAUUCAUGCAUGUGUUAAUUAUGCUAAUGGCAAGAUAACUAAUAUGCUGAUAUUUUCAUUGUAAUUGCUUUGACUAGGGGAAAAUGUUUAUAUGAUCUGUUUAGUGCUCAGAUCACUAUUUUUCAGUAAGUGUUUAUGUCUCAAACCAUAAGCACUAUAACUUUGUUUCCCAUAUAUUUUAAUAGAUGACAGCUUCCUGUUA